rnacentral:lncRNA from 1 species
GUCCCCCUGUCCCCGUGUCCCCAUGUCCGUCUGUCCCCGCAGAGGGCCGCUCUCUGAAGGACGAGGACGUGCUGCAGUCUCUCCCCGUGGGCACCACGGCCACCUUCUACUUCCGGGACCUGGGGGCGCAGAUCAGCUGGGUGACGGUGCGCGGCCGCCUGUCCGUCUGUCCGUCCGUGUCCCCCUGUCCGUCCGUGUCCCCCUGUCCGUCCAUGUCCCCCUGUCCAUCCGUGUCCCCCUGUCCGUCCCUGUGUCUAUCCUAUGUCCCUCUGGCCCCCUGUCCAUCCCACGUCCCUGUGUCCCUCUGCCCACCCCUGUGUCCGCCCGUGUCCCCCCUAUCCAUCGAUUGUCCUUCUGUCCGUCCCUCUGUCCAUCCCCUUGUCCAUCCUGUGUCCUUCUGUCCGCCCGUGUCCCUCUGUCCCUCUGUCCAUCCCACAUGCCUCUGCCCCUCUGUCCGCCCCUGUGUCCACCCAUGUCCCCCUGUCCAUCCCAUGUCCUUCUGUCCGUCCCUGUGUCCACCCCAUGUCCCUCUGUCCUUCUGUCCAUCCCCUUGUCCAUCCCAUGUCCGUCUGUCCAUCCCCCAUCCCUCUGUCCGCCCGUGUCCCCUUGUCUGUCCCAUGUCCCUCUGUCUGUCUCUCUGCCCAUCCGUGUCCACCCCAUGUCCUCCUGUCUGUCCCACGUCCCUCUGUCUGUCCCUGUGUCCAUCCCGUGUCCCUCUGUCCCCCUGUCCAUCCGACGCCCCUCUGUCCCUCUGUCUGUCUGUCUAUCCGUCUCAUGUCCUUUCAUCCCUGUGUCCACCGCCCUGUCUGCCUGUGUCCCCCUGUCUGUCCCGUGUCCCUCUGUCUCUCUGUCCAUCCCUCUGUCCGCCUGUGUCCCUCCGUCCCUCUGUCCACCCAUGUCCCCCUGUCCGUCCCAUGUCCCUUUGUCCUUCUGUCCAUCCCCUCGUCCAUCCCAUGUCCCUCUGUCCACCCGUGUCCCCCUGUCCGUCCCAUGUCCCUCUAUCUGUCCCUGUGUCCAUCCCAUGUCCUUCUGUGCCUCUGUCCAUCCCACGUCCCACUGUCCGUCCCUGCAUCCCUCUGUCCAUCCGUCCCUCUGUCCAUCCCUCCAUCCUUCUCUGUGUACCUCUGUCCAUCCCAUGUCCCUCUGUCCGUCCCUCUCUCUGUCCAUCCCUCCAUCCUUCCCUGUAUCCCUUUGUCCAUCCCACAUCCCUCUGUCCAUCCCAUCAUCCCUCCCCAUGUCCCUCUGUCCAUCCCACAUCACACUGUCCGUCUCUGCAUCCCUCUCUCCAUCCGUCCCUCUGUCCAUGCUUCCAUCCUUCCCAUGUCCCUCUGUCCAUCCCACGUCCCUCUGUCCAUCCCUCCAUCCCUCCCCGUGUCCCUCUGUCCAUCCCGUGUCCCUUUGUCCGUCCCUCUCUCUGUCCAUUCCUCCAUCCCUCCCUGUGUCCCUCUGUCCAUCCCACGUCCCUCUGUCCAUCCCAUCAUUCCUACCCAUGUCCCUCUGUCCAUCCCAUGUCCCUCUGUCCGUUCCUCUCUCUGUCCAUCCCUCCAUCCUUCCCUGUGUCCUUCUGUCCAUCCCACGUCCCUCUGUCCAUCCCAUCAUCCCUGCCUGUGUUCCUCUGUCCCUCUCUCCAUCCCUCCCCGUGUCCUUUUGUCCAUCCCAUCAUCCCUACUCAUGUUCCUCUGUCCAUCCCUUUGUCCAUCCCACGUCUCUCUGUCCAUUCCAUCAUCCCUCCCCAUGUCCCUCUGUCCAUCCCACGUCCCUCUGUCCAUCCCAUCAUCCCUACCCAUGUUCCUCUGUCCAUCCCGUGUCCCUUUGUCCGUCCCUCUGUCCAUCCCUCUAUCCUUCCCUGUGUCCCUCUGUCCAUCCAACAUCCCUCUGUCCAUCCCUCCAUCCCUCCCCGUGUCCCUCUGUCCGUCCCUCUCUCUGUCCAUUCCUCCAUCUCUCUCCGUGUCCCUCUGUCCAUCCCACGUCCCUCUGUCCAUCCCAUCAUCCCUCCCCAUGUCCCUCUGUCCAUCCCACGUCCCGCUGUCCAUCCCAUCAUCCCUACCCAUGUCCCUCUGUCCAUCCCAUGUCCCUCUGUCCGUCCCUCUCUCUGUCCAUUCCUCCAUCCUUCCCCGUGUCCCUCUGUCCAUCCCACGUCCCUCUGUCCAUUUCAUCAUCCCUGCCUGUGUCCCUCUGUCCAUCUCUCCAUCCUUCCCUGUGUCCCUCUGUCCAUCCCACGUCCCUCUGUCCAUCCCUCCAUCCCUCCCCGUGUCCCUCUGUCCAUCCCGUGUCCCUCUGUCCGUCCCUCUCUCUGUCCAUUCCUCCAUCCUUCGCUGUGUCCCUCUGUCCAUCCCACGUCCCUCUGUCCAUCCCUCCAUCCCUCCCCGUGUCCCUCUGUCCGUCCCUCUCUCUGUCCAUUCCUCCAUCCCUCUCCGUGUCCCUCUGUCCAUCCCACGUCCCUCUGUCCAUUCCUCCAUCCCUACCCGUGUCCCUCUGUCCAUCCCGUGUCCCUCUGUCCGUCCCUCUCUCUGUCCAUCCCUCCAUCCCUCCCUGUGUCCCUCUGUCCAUCCCACGUCC